rnacentral:rRNA from 1 species
AUUGAACGCUGGCGGCAUGCUUUACACAUGCAAGUCGAACGGCAGCGCGGGCUUCGGCCUGGCGGCGAGUGGCGAACGGGUGAGUAAUGCAUCGGAACGUGCCCAGUAGUGGGGGAUAGCCCGGCGAAAGCCGGAUUAAUACCGCAUACGACCUGAGGGUGAAAGCGGGGGACCGAAAGGCCUCGCGCUAUUGGAGCGGCCGAUGUCGGAUUAGCUAGUUGGUGGGGUAAAGGCUUACCAAGGCGACGAUCCGUAGCUGGUCUGAGAGGACGACCAGCCACACUGGGACUGAGACACGGCCCAGACUCCUACGGGAGGCAGCAGUGGGGAAUUUUGGACAAUGAGGGCAACCCUGAUCCAGCCAUGCCGCGUGCGGGAAGAAGGCCUUCGGGUUGUAAACCGCUUUUGUUCGGGAAGAAAUCCUCUGGGCUAAUACCCCGGGGGGAUGACGGUACCGGAAGAAUAAGCACCGGCUAACUACGUG